UACGGAGGGUGCAAGCGUUGUCCGGAAUUACUGGGCGUAAAGGGCGCGUAGGCGGCUCAUGAAGGCUGUGGUGAAAGUCCGGGGCUCAACCUCGGAUCGGCCGUGGCGACUCGUGGGCUGGAGCACUGUAGAGGCGGGUGGAAUUCCGGGUGUAGCGGUGGAAUGCGUAGAGAUCCGGAAGAACACCAGUGGCGAAGGCGGCCCGCUGGGCAGUGGCUGACGCUGAGGCGCGACAGCGUGGGGAGCAAACAGG
rnacentral:rRNA from 1 species